CGGGUGAGUAACACGUAAGUAAUCUACCUUCGAGUGGGGAAUAACGUCCGGAAACGGACGCUAAUACCGCAUAAUGCAGCGGCACCUUAUGGUGACAGUUGUUAAAGGAGCAAUUCGCUUGAAGAGGAGCUUGCGGCAGAUUAGCUAGUUGGUAAGGUAAUGGCUUACCAAGGCUACGAUCUGUAACCGGUCUAAGAGGACGGUCGGUCACACUGACACUGAAUAACGGGUCAG
rnacentral:rRNA from 1 species